CCAACAUCUCUCUGCUACUACCCAUUUUCUCGGCUUUUAUUGUGCUUUGUGUUGUGUUGGUCUUGCAGUUGCAGAGUGGGUUUGUGAGUGCAGGGAAUGGAGGAGGGCUUGUGAUGAAUUACUACAAGGAGUCGUGCCAUCAGGUGGAAGAGAUCAUUUAGGAGAAUGUUCAUUUGCUUUACAAGUGCUACAAGAACACAACUUUCUCCUAGUUGAGGAACAUCUUCCAUGACUGCGUUGUGCAGUUUGCAGAUCUUGGUCAACCAUAUUUGGAUCAUUUGCUAGAUCCGCUUGAACUCGGAUCUGGCCUUUUCUCUACAUCAUUAGGCGUGAGAAAGAUGUGUCCCAAAUGCAGAUUCACUCAAUCGAGGAGAGAGACUUACGAUUUUUCUCUCUAUAUUGUUAAAGACAUUAGGGUUUUGAAUUUUUUUGAACCAAUUCAUGAAUGGCUAAUGCAUGCACCUACUUGGGCUUUAUGGCUGCCUUGAAUUGUGUGAGAGAUAGAUUGCUUCGGGAUGGUUGGAGCCCCUAGCCCUUCAAACUGCAGGAGUGAGAGAGACGGAUUGGAGAUAGCGACAUGGAUUGAAAUGGAACCUCCUUCUAGAAAUUAGUUUGGGGAUUGAUGGAGAAGAGAUGAUUCAUGUGAACCACAAAGGGGUGACUAUAGCUCCAGGUGAGAAGCCCUGCAUUCUUCGUUGGCUCUCUAUUGUUGUGACUAAAAUCAUGCUCUAUGCACAAUGAGAAAAACACAAAUUCUUUGGACAAUUUAUUUUUGUUAUAUGUUGCUCCAUAAGUACCACUGCCUACAUCCCCAUGUCUUGGUCUGUUUGUUACUGUUUAUUCUUGUAACACAUAUGUUUCCCAUUGUUUUAUUGUCAAUAACCUUGUCACAACAACUUAAGAGAGAUCCAUUCACCAUGAAACUUGAAGAGUUGAUGGCACUUUCACCAUUAUCCUAAAAUCUUUGCGAGUACAACUCUCUUCUCUUUAUAUAGGUCCAGUUAUCAUGGAAUUAUUCUAAUUGAAUGGCAAAGAGGGGUGCAUUCUGUACGACCCCUCCCUUGAUCAUACUUUGUAUAACUUAGUUUGAAUUUAGUUGAU